GCUAUGUUACAUUGAAUGGCAAAAGUGACUUUGUAGAGCAGACAGUUGGCUUAGCAACUCUGAGUGGUGGGCUCAACAGAAGAACAAGCUGAUAGAAGUCCUUGGGCUCUGAGGCUCCAUUCUAAUCAAAGUACUUCUCCAACCAGAGGACUUCCAUUGAUCAAUAGCCACUCAGAUGUUCUGUGUUUGCCAUGAGUAUCGGACUUCAGUCUUCUGGAAAGAUGGCUGUGGUGCCUAAACACAUCUGUGCCUGGCCUCACCCGCGGGUGUCGUUUAUCCGGAUGCUGCAUGAUUAAGACCACCAUACUCUUAUCAAGCAUACAGGUGUUAAUGUCUAUUUUAAAGAGGAGAGAACUCAAGAAGUUCUGUAGAAACUGCUUUCUUCAUCAUAUCUCAAAGGAUUUGCUGAGGAUUUCAGAGGUGCCACGAGUUGAGAGAAGUGAGCCAAAAAAACUCAUCUGAAGUGUUUGGACAGAUGAAAUCAAUGGCUGCUGAUUAAAUGAGAGGCACACAGCAAGUACACUGUAAAAUAAUUAAAUAGUAAUUGAAAAUACCUGCAGAAAGUUUGAUUAGCAUCUGAGGAACUAACAAAAGUAGCCAGAUAAUAACAAAUGCAUUUCCAAAGCCUGUUUAAUUCUAUCAAUGUACCUUAGUAAAUAUGUAGUUAGUCUCAUUAAACGAAUUAAUGUAAAUGCAUUAAACUUUUCACAGUAAAAGUAGUGUUUUGGAAAACCUUGGGUGUACCCGAAGUUAUUUUCCUUGGGGUUCCAUAGGAAUGGGUUUAACCUAUAUUUUGGAAAUGUUUUAAUUACUGUAUUCGACUCAUUAUGUCAUAUUUUGCAAAACUGAUAAAGUUAAAAUGACAUUUUUAUUACAUGAAUUCAAAUUAUAGACAUAGAGAUGUUUCAGGUAGCCAGGUUCUAUAAAGAAUAUUCCAAAAUAUUGUCUUGAAGCCCAGUGUAAUUGAAAAUUAUAUCAUUGAACUCUGUCAAAAUAAAGGCACCAAUCUGUAUAAAAUACAAAGUUAAGUAUAUAACUAUGUAUAAAAAAGAGUAAAAAUGUUCUAGGCAUGAUAUAAGAAAGUCAAAGAUUUAAGAAGUAGCAGAGAAUUUCAAAUAUAGUUGGACAAAGGCAGCAAUCAGCUAAUGAUGGCACUUUUACAUGCUCAGACAAUGAGAAUAUUAUUAAGACCUCAAAUCCCAAAAUAAACAAAUUGUUUCCCACUUAAUGAAAUUACAGCCUGUGAUAUGGAUUUUCAAGGAUAUGAGCAAGAAGACAGAACAAAAUGAGCCAAGAUCAAGAUAUAUGUAUCAGAGACCCGGGGAGAAAGGAUGAAAAUUACAAUCUCAAGAAACAACAUAAACAUG
rnacentral:lncRNA from 1 species